CAGGAACAGAGCGGGAGAGAGAGAGAGCCAGGGACAACAACGUCACAUUAGAAAAGCAAUAUUGAGGAAAGUUUUAACAGCUGAUCAUGGAGCAGGAUGAAGGUCAAAGGUCGCUUCUGGUUAUGCUGCCAUCCGGUGUAGUCAUCCAGCUGGUCCGUGCUAUAUCGCCCCCUGGCCCGGAGUGCACUGACUCAACAGCUGCGUCACCCCUACGCUUCAGGAACCCCCUCCCUCUCUGAUUCCAUGCUCCUUAUGGAGCAUAUUACACAGGCCUGAAAAUGACUAGACACUUCUGGAGUAUUUCUGGUAGGGUCAAAAGGUCAGGAUUGAGGCCUUCAAUAGUAAAUAUGUCGUAUUUGAAGACGUAGCCCCACUUUCCACACCCCUCAAAAGGUAGAGGCCAUUCUCCCCGCAAGCUCCUCAGAGCCGGUAUCUGGCUGCGGAACAUGAAGACGCUCUUAUUUCUCCCCUCUUUCCGCGGAGCAUCGGUUGCUUCUGAUUUGUUACUGUAGAUGCUGACGGGGGUGUCGCUGAUAACCGACGAGGACCAGCUGCUGCUGCCUCCCAUGCUUACGACCUCGGGAGAGCAGAUCUCUUCCCCGUCCAAGUACAGAGGAACGCAGGGCUGCAGAAUGAAGGGCUCCAUGUUGUCUGUGCGUAGAAAUGUGCCGGCCCUCUGUUUUUAUUCUCCUCCCUCCACAGACCCCCCUCCCUCUAAGGAAGAAAACUUUUUUUUUUUCCACAACAGGUAUCAUGCUUGUGGAUCAUAUUACACACUUCCGGAGUACUUCCGGUGGGGUCAAAAGGUCAAGGCUAGAGUCAUCAAUCCAAAUGAUGACACAAGGUGUAUGGUUUUUCUUUUUUUAGUGUCGACAGACAGCUGGAAGAGACUAGAGAAGAGAUGCAACAAAAACAAGAAGCCUGGGAGAAAGAACGAAGAGAAGAGCGAGUGAAACAAAGAGAAGAAGAUGAAAAAAAAGACGACAGGAGGAGGAAGAAAGAAUAGAAAAACUGCUGGAAAGUUACAAACAAGAAAAAAUAAAAUACUAAAACAACAAAUUACAAGAGGAACAAAUAAGAAGAGAAAUUGAUGUUGUACAUCACUGUCACAACAGCGUUUGUUUUCAUUCAAAGGCUUUAUGGCUUCAAUACCUGGUGG